AUUUUGAGUCAUAUUAAGCAAUGUUUCCCCAUUUUCAGAAUAUAGAAGAAUUCAUAACUGCUUUUUAAAAAUACAUGUACAGUUCCUUUUUAAAGCCUUGAUUUAAAUAUCUGAUCCAUUGGGAAUUUAUCCUGGAUUAUGGUGUAAGAAAUGGAUCCAAUUUUAUCUUUCUCCAUAUGGCUAUCCAGUUAUCUCAGCAAUGUUUAUUUAACUGUCCAUCUUCUACCCAGCAAUUUGAGAUGCUACCUAUAAAGCAUACUAAAUGGUCACAUGUGAUUGUAUCUUGUUUCUGAACUUUCUACCUUUUCAUUAGUUUGUCUGCCUAUUCAUGUGCUAAUAUCAAACUGUUUAAAUAAUAAAGUUUUUAAUAGUACUUUCUAAAGAAAUCUGAUAUAGUUUUUCCUUCCAGCUGUUGUCCUGAACAUUGCUUUUCUUUUUUAGAGUUUAUCUGGUUAUUCUUACUUGUUUUUAAAUUCCUAAUGAACUUUAUAAUCAAUUUGUUUAACUCUAGAAAAAAGCCUGGAGACAUUGAACUAAGAUCAAAUUUAAUGUAUUAAAUAUGGUAGAAAGAAGAGAGAAUGAAAAAUAAUGUUAACAAUCUAGGUGAGGAAUUGCUGAGGAGACAAAUUAAGUAAAUCCUGUGGAAGGAAAGAAGAAAGGAGGAAAGAGGAUUGGAUGGAAGAAUCUCCACUUCUCAUAGGUGUAGUCCUUCCUUAGCCUGCUUUUUAAUGAGUGCUGCUAAAGCCCUUAGCCUGCCUGUUUACCCUUGGAGUGGAGCAAUGAACUGAAGAUAUUUGAGUGAGUUCAAGAGAGACUCAGAAGAGAAGAAUUGGAGGCAGCAAACAUAGACAGCACUUUUAAUGCUUUUCUCAUAUGCUGUAAGACAUGAAAGCAAUCUAUUGGGAUGAAAGCUGAAAGGAGAAGCGGGACAAGAGAAGAAGAGAAGCAAGAAACCAAAUACUGGGGGAUAUAUUGCACAAGUAUAACUUCAAGAAACCCAAGCCAGUGCAAACAAUUCAAAAAAUAAUGGAACCCGAAGACAGCGAACCUUCCAGGGAUGCUAUGGACAUUUAUCCCCUCUGCUAACAUUUAUGUUUCUGUAGUUGAGGUUCAGUUAUAUCACAGUUUAGACAACUCCCUAGAAACAAUGAUCCCUGUUAAAGCUGCUCCAGGAGCACAGGAAUUCCUUUGAUGAGCUCUAAGAGAUUGGUAACAAUACCUCCUGAAGGGCCGUGUUGCUAGGUAACAGCUUGUUUCCUUGGUCACAGUGAAUCCGUGGAAGACCCCCAAAAGAGGCUGCAGAUUCUUAGUGGACAGCUCUCAUAUCCCCUCCAGGGAAAAUGAUGAAAAAUGUCUUCAGAAAAAUAGCUUUAUGAAGGCAAGAGGACUUUUUGCACCUGCAAGACAUGUCUGAAAGCUCCUCAGGUCAAAACACAAGUAGUCAAGAGAUUUGUCCAUCUAAUUCAUCAUACUACUCUGAUCCAAGUGAGACCCACACUGGGUCAGCUCCAUCAAGGAGAAGAACAUUCCACCCACGUUUGGAUUCUGGAAUAUCAUCCUUGCUUCCAUCAGAUUCUUGUAAGUACCUCACUUGGCACAAGGUAGACAUGACGUUCAAGGAAGUCAACUGCGUUGCCCAAGAGUAAGAGAAGGUAAAAGAAUAAAUGUGUGCCUUUUUCGUGUACAUCCUCUGAAUAGAAUUUUUUGUGGAUUAAAAGACAUUACUUGAAGAAAAAAAAAAGACACCAUUUGGAGGAAUCUCUGAAGAAGAGCAACUUUUCAGACAGGUAGAGUGUGCCUUGCUCCCAAGGAAAAGAGUUCUUGAAAAAAACAAAUGGGAAACAUGGCUACAAGAAAACUGGGAAGACUGCAAGAAUUUGAACAUUUCAUUUCAGGGUUUGGGGGAUCCUUACCAAGUUGAAAAUUUUAACAGAAUUCUUAGAAGACUAAUUCGAGUUGAAACCCUCUGGGAUUGCUAGAGAACCCCUUUUACAGGGAGCUGCUAUUUGCUUCAGCAGGCAGAAUGCGUAGGUGGAGUGAGCUUUGGUGGCAAUGAGAGGGGCCAACAGAGGUCCUCAGGAGUGAAUUAGAUGAAGGAAAUUGAGCAUCCACAAAAAGGAAAGAUCCACCAAUAAGAAGACAGCACAAUUCAAAAGAGAAAGGACUUAAUGACAGAGCUAAUAAUGCAAAAACAUGCUAACUGACAAGAAAAUCAUGGGUUUUAUACAAGGAUAACAAGUGCUGGGUUGCUUAGCUAUGAGGAAGGCUAGGCUCACUGCAUACCAGAAGAUGUACAGCGUUGGAGAAUUCAGGGAUUUUUAUCAACAAUCAAACUAUAUUUGUGGAAAUUUUGUGCAUAAGUGCCAAAGAUGGCUGACAUCGGACCACAUUCUAUUUAACUCAACUGAAUGACACCAAGCUCUCAUCCUAAAACUUAUAGUUACAUCCACCCUUCUGAAAUAUUUAAUUAUUCUCCAAUACACUGGAGGUAAUAGGUAUAAAAAGAAUGAGCAUGUGCAACUUAGUAUCUCAUAUCUAAUUUUGUGUCCCAAGUUCAUUCUUCCCCUGAAUGUCCCAUGUCUACCAGGUGCAGGAUUAUCUGGAUGGGUCAGUUCAAAACAAUUUCAGGGAAUAAAUUGUGUAGGGGACUCAAUUUUCUGAGACAGAAACAUAAUGUGAAUAACUCCUUUGUUAGAAAAUAAUUUCAGUGACAGAAAGCCUUUCAGUUCAUAAAGAAAACUUACAUAUCAACAAGCCUAGCUCCUCACUAGUCCCAGUGAAUGCUUACAUCAAUCAGCUCUACAAUAUCCAGUAAAGGACUUUCCAAUUCGCCUUUGAAUAAACUGAGGUAUUGGAAACAUCUAAGAAAAUGGUUUUUAAUUCUUCCUAAUCUUCAGGGAGUUCUUCCUUAUAUUGAGCUGAUAUCUGCCCUCUGUAACUUUCAACUAAUUAUUCAAAUCUCUCAAGUGAUUAUAAUUAAUUCCAUCUUAUAAGGAAUUUUUCUCAGCUUCCAGCCUCUUGAAAAUACUCUGAUAUUUUCUCUAAUAUUCAAGUGGAAAUGUAAAUGGGUAACGUAAGAGUCUGUGGGGUUAGGAGGGUGGAGGAAAGGUAAGGGAAAGCUAAUGAGAAAUAACCAAAGCAAGAAAAAGAAUUUUAUUUUCUUCAAGUUCUUUGUACAUCCAAAGUGGAAGAUUCCUAAAAUAAAUUCCCCAUACCACAUUUUAAAAAUUAGGUUAGCAAGCUUACUUUUUAAUUUAUUUAGAAGCCAACUACUUCCAUUUAUUAUUUCUUUCCAGAAUAGAACAAUUAUCACUAAUUGUUUGUCAUUAUAAUGCCAAACUAUGUUAAUAGAUGCCUAUUUUUUUAAAGGCUAAUUGCAAUCAUGAAACCAAAUAUCUAAUUAGUUUUAGAGCUUUGGACCACAUGCAUCAAUAUUUGAAUCAUUCAGGUGUAUAUUUGCUUUCUGCUUUUUUGUCUCUUCAAAAGAAGUAUUAUAUGCAUUCUGUUUAUAAUUUCUAAAUGGUCAUUUCAAAACUGAUUAUACGAGUUUAUACAAAUCAUACUGAAAUUUGUUGCUUAAAAAAUCUUCAUUUUUCUCUAAGCUCUCAGUGUCCUUGAGCUAUAUAUAUUUUAUGGCAAUUUUUACUUAAUAGUUUGUAUGCUAGUUAUUUUUGACAAUGACUACUAAAAUGCAAGUUUCUUCAAGGGCAGAUUCACCUUAGUUCUUCUUUAUACCCCUCAAAAACCUCAGGGUUAUUCUCAAUAAGUAUUGAGUAGGUGAGUGAACUUUGGAUGUAUACUCCUUGAAAUUAUAUUUCUGGAGCUGGAAAACUUUAAAAAAAUGUAUGUCAUGAGUCUAAAGAAAUAAACAUUAUAUGGCUGAAAAAAUACUUUGUGAAAACCAAAAAUCUCAUGGAAUCAUGAACUUAUCUAUGGGACAGAUGUUAGCCCUGAGGUUGUUCUGGGCUUCUUUUCUACCCACUUCCCAUGACCAAAUCAGUUCACUAGUCAGCAGUUCUAUCCUUCCUCUCCUUCUCCUUCCAUCUAAGGAGCUAGAGCUGAACUGCUUGGCCACUGAUUGCUGACAUGCUGAGUUUUCUACAGCUGGAGUUUUCAAGAGGGCUUUGAUUUUGCUUUCCCCAGUUUUCCUUCUUCCACACUUGAAAAGUGGUAAGGGUACCAGCUUUCUGUCUAUCUCUGACUCUCUCUCUCUCUUUCACACACACACACACACACACACACACACACACACACACUUUUUUUUUUCUUCCACCCUCCUGCACAGCAGGAGACCUUGCCUUGAUCUUUGAAGGUCUACAGCAAGUGGUCUAGGCUAACUCAGUGCUGGGCAAAUGGAGCAAAAACUCUUUUCUGCUUCCUUGCCUCCAUGUCUUUCAGAGCUAGCAGAUACAGCUUUUGUUCUAUAGGAGUGAUUCUUUCUAAAUGUCAGCUCAACAGGAUGAUGGUCACUCUUGUAUAUCACUUAGGCAUGAGUUCUGUUGAAUCCCA
rnacentral:lncRNA from 10 species